rnacentral:rRNA from 1 species
GACAGAGGUGCCGAGCGUUAGGCGGAAUCACUGGGCUUAAAGCGUGUGUAGGCGGCCCGUUAAGUGCCUCGUGAAAUCCCCCGGCUCAACCGGGGAACUGCGGGGCAUACUGGCGGGCUUGGGUCGCUCAGGGGCAGACGGAACAGGCGGUGGAGCGGUGAAAUGCGUAGAGAUCGGAAAGAACACCAACGGCGAAAGCACUCUGCUGGGCCGACACUGACACUGAGAGACGAAAGCUAGGGGAGCGAAUGGG